UACGUAGGGACCAAGCAUUGUUCGGAUUUACUGGGCGUAAAGGGCGCGUAGGCGGUGCGGUAAGUCACUUGUGAAAUCUCUGAGCUUAACUCAGAACGGCCAAGUGAUACUGCAGUACUAGAGUGCGGAAGGGGCAAUCGGAAUUCUUGGUGUAGCGGUGAAAUGCGUUGAUAUCAUCAGGAACACCGGAGGCGAAGGCGGCUCACUGGGGGUUUUCUGACGCUGAGGAACGAAAGCCAGGGGAGCGAACGGG
rnacentral:rRNA from 1 species